rnacentral:SRP_RNA from 1 species
AGAAGGGUGGGAGGCUGGCACGAUGACCCGUGCCGGGCUCGUUAGGGCUGCUUCCUUCCGGACCUGACCCGGUUGGCGAGUGGCUCGUCCACCACCAACCUCCCGGAUGCACAUAUCGGCAAUAUCGCCAUCAAAAG